GACGAACGCUGGCGGCGUGCUUAACACAUGCAAGUCGAACGGAAAGGCCCUGCUUGCAGGGUACUCGAGUGGCGAACGGGUGAGUAACACGUGGGUGAUCUGCCCUGCACUUCGGGAUAAGCCUGGGAAACUGGGUCUAAUACCGGAUAGGAGCCAUUUUGAGUGUGAUGGUUGGAAAGUUUUUUCGGUGCAGGAUGAGCUCGCGACCUAUCAGCUUGUUGGUGGGGUAAUGGGCUACCAAGGCGGCGACGGGUAGCCGGACUGCAGGGGUGGACGGCCACAUUGAGACUGAGAGACGGCCCAGACACCGACGGGUGGCAGCAGUGGGGAAGAUUGCACGAGGGGCGCAAGCCGGAUGCAGAGACGCCGCGUGGGGGAUGACGGCCUUCGGGUUGUAAACUCCAUUCGCUAGGGACGAAGCUUUUUGUGACGGUACCUAGACAAGAAGCACCGGCUAACUACGUG
rnacentral:rRNA from 1 species